rnacentral:rRNA from 1 species
UACGUAGGGUGGCAAGCGUUGUCCGGAAUUAUUGGGCGUAAAGCGCGCGCAGGCGGUCCUUUAAGUCUGAUGUGAAAGCCCACGGCUCAACCUGGGAACUGCGUCUGAUACUGGAAGGCUUUGAGUAUGGGGAGAGGGAUGUAGAAUUCCAGGUGUAGCGGUGAAAUGCGUAGAUAUCCGGAGGAAUACCGGUGGCGAAGGGCGGCAUCCUGGACCAUUACUGACGCUGAGGCGCGAAAGCUAGGGGAGCAAACGGG